AGCGUACACGGUGGAUGCCCUGGCAGUCAGAGGCGAUGAAGGACGUGCUAAUCUGCGAUAAGCGUCGGUAAGGUGAUAUGAACCGUUAUAACCGGCGAUUUCCGAAUGGGGAAACCCAGUGUGUUUCGACACACUAUCAUUAACUGAAUCCAUAGGUUAAUGAGGCGAACCGGGGGAACUGAAACAUCUAAGUACCCCGAGGAAAAGAAAUCAACCGAGAUUCCCCCAGUAGCGGCGAGCGAACGGGGAGCAGCCCAGAGCCUGAAUCAGUGUGUGUGUUAGUGGAAGCGUCUGGAAAGGCGCGCGAUACAGGGUGACAGCCCCGUACACAAAAAUGCACAUGCUGUGAGCUCGAUGAGUAGGGCGGGACACGUGGUAUCCUGUCUGAAUAUGGGGGGACCAUCCUCCAAGGCUAAAUACUCCUGACUGACCGAUAGUGAACCAGUACCGUGAGGGAAAGGCGAAAAGAACCCCGGCGAGGGGAGUGAAAAAGAACCUGAAACCGUGUACGUACAAGCAGUGGGAGCACGCUUAGGCGUGUGACUGCGUACCUUUUGUAUAAUGGGUCAGCGACUUAUAUUCUGUAGCAAGGUUAACCGAAUAGGGGAGCCGAAGGGAAACCGAGUCUUAACUGGGCGUUAAGUUGCAGGGUAUAGACCCGAAACCCGGUGAUCUAGCCAUGGGCAGGUUGAAGGUUGGGUAACACUAACUGGAGGACCGAACCGACUAAUGUUGAAAAAUUAGCGGAUGACUUGUGGCUGGGGGUGAAAGGCCAAUCAAACCGGGAGAUAGCUGGUUCUCCCCGAAAGCUAUUUAGGUAGCGCCUCGUGAAUUCAUCUCCGGGGGUAGAGCACUGUUUCGGCAAGGGGGUCAUCCCGACUUACCAACCCGAUGCAAACUGCGAAUACCGGAGAAUGUUAUCACGGGAGACACACGGCGGGUGCUAACGUCCGUCGUGAAGAGGGAAACAACCCAGACCGCCAGCUAAGGUCCCAAAGUCAUGGUUAAGUGGGAAACGAUGUGGGAAGGCCCAGACAGCCAGGAUGUUGGCUUAGAAGCAGCCAUCAUUUAAAGAAAGCGUAAUAGCUCACUGGUCGAGUCGGCCUGCGCGGAAGAUGUAACGGGGCUAAACCAUGCACCGAAGCUGCGGCAGCGACGCUGAUGCGUUGUUGGGUAGGGGAGCGUUCUGUAAGCCUGCGAAGGUGUGCUGUGAGGCAUGCUGGAGGUAUCAGAAGUGCGAAUGCUGACAUAAGUAACGAUAAAGCGGGUGAAAAGCCCGCUCGCCGGAAGACCAAGGGUUCCUGUCCAACGUUAAUCGGGGCAGGGUGAGUCGACCCCUAAGGCGAGGCCGAAAGGCGUAGUCGAUGGGAAACAGGUUAAUAUUCCUGUACUUGGUGUUACUGCGAAGGGGGGACGGAGAAGGCUAUGUUAGCCGGGCGACGGUUGUCCCGGUUUAAGCGUGUAGGCUGGUUUUCCAGGCAAAUCCGGAAAAUCAAGGCUGAGGCGUGAUGACGAGGCACUACGGUGCUGAAGCAACAAAUGCCCUGCUUCCAGGAAAAGCCUCUAAGCAUCAGGUAACAUCAAAUCGUACCCCAAACCGACACAGGUGGUCAGGUAGAGAAUACCAAGGCGCUUGAGAGAACUCGGGUGAAGGAACUAGGCAAAAUGGUGCCGUAACUUCGGGAGAAGGCACGCUGAUAUGUAGGUGAAGUCCCUUGCGGAUGGAGCUGAAAUCAGUCGAAGAUACCAGCUGGCUGCAACUGUUUAUUAAAAACACAGCACUGUGCAAACACGAAAGUGGACGUAUACGGUGUGACGCCUGCCCGGUGCCGGAAGGUUAAUUGAUGGGGUCAGCGCAAGCGAAGCUCUUGAUCGAAGCCCCGGUAAACGGCGGCCGUAACUAUAACGGUCCUAAGGUAGCGAAAUUCCUUGUCGGGUAAGUUCCGACCUGCACGAAUGGCGUAAUGAUGGCCAGGCUGUCUCCACCCGAGACUCAGUGAAAUUGAACUCGCUGUGAAGAUGCAGUGUACCCGCGGCAAGACGGAAAGACCCCGUGAACCUUUACUAUAGCUUGACACUGAACAUUGAGCCUUGAUGUGUAGGAUAGGUGGGAGGCUUUGAAGUGUGGACGCCAGUCUGCAUGGAGCCGACCUUGAAAUACCACCCUUUAAUGUUUGAUGUUCUAACGUUGGCCCCUGAUCGGGGUUGCGGACAGUGUCUGGUGGGUAGUUUGACUGGGGCGGUCUCCUCCUAAAGAGUAACGGAGGAGCACGAAGGUUGGCUAAUCCUGGUCGGACAUCAGGAGGUUAGUGCAAUGGCAUAAGCCAGCUUGACUGCGAGCGUGACGGCGCGAGCAGGUGCGAAAGCAGGUCAUAGUGAUCCGGUGGUUCUGAAUGGAAGGGCCAUCGCUCAACGGAUAAAAGGUACUCCGGGGAUAACAGGCUGAUACCGCCCAAGAGUUCAUAUCGACGGCGGUGUUUGGCACCUCGAUGUCGGCUCAUCACAUCCUGGGGCUGAAGUAGGUCCCAAGGGUAUGGCUGUUCGCCAUUUAAAGUGGUACGCGAGCUGGGUUUAGAACGUCGUGAGACAGUUCGGUCCCUAUCUGCCGUGGGCGCUGGAGAAUUGAGGGGGGCUGCUCCUAGUACGAGAGGACCGGAGUGGACGCAUCACUGGUGUUCGGGUUGUCAUGCCAAUGGCAUUGCCCGGUAGCUAAAUGCGGAAGAGAUAAGUGCUGAAAGCAUCUAAGCACGAAACUUGCCCCGAGAUGAGUUCU
rnacentral:rRNA from 1 species